rnacentral:misc_RNA from 1 species
AAGUCGUAACAAGGUAUCCGUAGGUGAACCUGCGGAUGGAUCAUUGCAAGAAGUUUUAAAACACUUCGACCCUUCUGUUGAACACGUUUGCUCUUUUAACGGAGAGAUGAGAGCGCUCGUUCGUUCUCUUCUCUCCUUUCUUUCUACCUUUUUCAUACAAACACUUUGUACUGAAUUGAUGUAAACUAUUUAGACAAGAUACAGCCUAACUGCUGUGUUAUUGUUUUAAAUUUCUUAAAAUAAAAAAUUUAAAGCACAACUCUUAGCAACGGAUCUCUUGGCUCUC